rnacentral:rRNA from 1 species
GACGUAGGGCGCGAGCGUUGUCCGGAUUUAUUGGGCGUAAAGAGCUCGUAGGCGGCUUGUCGCGUCGACUGUGAAAACCCGCGGCUCAACCGCGGGCCUGCAGCCGAUACGGGCAGGCUAGAGUUCGGUAGGGGAGACUGGAAUUCCUGGUGUAGCGGUGAAAUGCGUAGAUAUCGGAAGGAACACCAGUGGCGAAGGCGGCUUCCUGGACUAAUACUGACGCUGAGGUGCGAAAGCGUGGGGAGCUAACAGG